rnacentral:rRNA from 1 species
ACGGGUGAGUAACACGUAUCCAACCUGCCGUCUACUCUUGGACAGCCUUCUGAAAGGAAGAUUAAUACAAGAUGGCAUCAUGAGUCCGCAUGUUCACAUGAUUAAAGGUAUUCCGGUAGACGAUGGGGAUGCGUUCCAUUAGAUAGUAGGCGGGGUAACGGCCCACCUAGUCUACGAUGGAUAGGGGUUCUGAGAGGAAGGUCCCCCACAUUGGAACUGAGACACGGCCAA